rnacentral:tRNA from 1 species
GGAGAUGUGGCUCAGUGGUAGAGCACUUGCUUAUUAGCAUGUGCAAGGCCCUGGUUUCAAUCCCCAGCACCACCA